rnacentral:misc_RNA from 1 species
GAAAUUUAAUUAGAAGAGCAGAAGUAUGUGUUCGGCAGAAUGGGUAACAUUUUCAGCAAUUUUUGUAAUAAUAAACUUUAUGAUUACUUCAUAUUAUUUCAUUAUGUAUUCCUAAUUUUCCGUUACGGCAAAAACAAACUUAAACUGCGAUAAUAUCCAUCGAGACAACGAUCUACAGUGAGAUCCGUUAUAAUGAGACGUGAUAAAGUGCACGCUCGAUUUUCUCGAAAACAAAGCCUCAAACGAAAAAUUUUUAUUCUAUAUUUUCGACUUCUUUUUUCGCGUAGAAUCACCCCCCUUCUGCUUGUACCACCAGUUACCAACCACCCUAUAUAUAUACUAAAUA